UACGUAGGGUGCGAGCGUUAAUCGGAAUUACUGGGCGUAAAGCGUGCGCAGGCGGUUUUGUAAGCCAGAUGUGAAAUCCCCGGGCUUAACCUGGGAAUGGCAUUUGGGACUGCAAGGCUGGAGUGCGGCAGAGGAGACUGGAAUUCCUGGUGUAGCAGUGAAAUGCGUAGAUAUCAGGAGGAAUACCGAUGGCGAAGGCAGGUCUCUGGGCUGACACUGACGCUCAUGCACGAAAGCGUGGGGGAGCAAACAGG
rnacentral:rRNA from 1 species